AUUGAACGCUGGCGGCAUGCCUUACACAUGCAAGUCGAACGGUAACGCGGGGCAACCUGGCGACGAGUGGCGAACGGGUGAGUAAUGCAUCGGAACGUGCCCAGUAGUGGGGGAUAGCCCGGCGAAAGCCGGAUUAAUACCGCAUACGACCUACGGGUGAAAGCGGGGGACCGCAAGGCCUCGCGCUAUUGGAGCGGCCGAUGUCAGAUUAGGUUGUUGGUGGGGUAAAGGCCUACCAAGCCGACGAUCUGAAGCUGGUCUGAGAGGACGACCAGCCACACUGGGACGGAGACGCGGCCCAGACUCCUACGGGAGGCGGCAGUGGGGAAUUUUGGACAAUGGGCGCAAGCCUGAGCCAGCCCUGCCGCGUGCGGGAAGAAGGCCUUCGGGUUGUAAACCGCUUUUGUCAGGGAAGAAACGCUCUGGGCUAAUACCCCGGGGUAAUGACGGUACCUGAAGAAUAAGCACCGGCUAACUACGUGCCAGCAGCCGCAGUAA
rnacentral:rRNA from 1 species